AAUUAGAUGAGAAUUUUAGAUGAUUUAAGACAAUAUUUUUAAACAUGUUACAUCAAUCUUCUGAGUUGUUUAAAAGCAAGACAUUGUCACUCUCUACUGCUGAAUAUGAUGCAUAUAAUUUAUGAUACGUUCAGUGAAUAAGGAGGAGAAUACACAGAGGUUUUUAAAUAAAAUAAAUCUUAUUUAAAUUAAAAUCUAUAUGUUGGGUUGAGUUUAGGAGCAACUGAAUAAGUAGUAGAACGUAAUUUGGAGAGCAUAAUGGCAAAUUCAGGAAUUAUUUCAGUUGCUAGGUACUAUAUAAAAGGUGCCGAGAACAGAGACAUUGAAGAACUGUGUAAAGGCCAGUUACUUUAACCAUUUAGUUUUUAGUAUGUAAAGUAAGUAGAUUGCACAAAGAAUAUUUAUAAAUUACUUUUCAAGUUUAAGCAUUUUAUUCAAUCUGUGGGAAAAUUAUAAACUCUUGUCAUGCACUAAAGCAAAGAAUAUUAAAAAGAACAAGCAUAUUAAAAACUGUAAAAGCCUACAUUAUUUUUUAAGGAAGGAUCGCAUCUUGUUUACUCUUUGUUUUUUGUGGAAGCUAUUAUAAAAGAAAAUGAAUGAGUUAACAAAUUGGCAGAUAUUAUAUAUAUAAAAAUUAAUGAGCUAUUUAGCAAUUAAUUUAAAGGAAAAGCUUAUUAAUAACUUCAGUGGAUUACUUAUAGUUUUAGAAUUUGAAGGUUGACAAAUUGCAUCUCUAAUUCAAGUAAGAAAUAAAAUUUAUAAUGGGAAGUUAUGUCUUUGAAGAGUCAGUAUCUUACUGUUGUGUGCCCAUAAAAAGGUUCAGUUAACAGAGACAAGAGAAAUACUCCUUUGAUUUUUCCCAUUAUAUGAGCAAUGCAUGCUCAUUAUCACUUGUUAAAACUACAUGGUACAUAAAGAAAAAAAAGUUAGAUUUAUAGAUUAAUAGUAACAUGGAAUAAAUCCCUAACAUUCUCUCUUCCGUAUCCUUCUCUGAAAUUAUAAAAUGGAGAUGAAGAAGUUUCAACAUCGGGACCAUAAUUCAAUUCUCUCCUAACUACUGAUUACAAUUGUGGUGGAGAAAAAGGUGUUCCUGGAGAAAGAAAGAAGACCAGAUAUUAGAGUGGGAAAGAAAAGAACAUUGAAUUAAAACAAACGGUAACUAAAAUGGCAGAAAAAAAGCUUCAGGUAUCGUAAAAGCAGUUGAGUUCUUGAUUUGAUUCUCCACUUGAUCGCUGUUGGUGUACAGAAGAUCUACUAAUUUGCAUACAUUAAUUUUGUAUCUGGAAAAUUUGCUGAAUUCUUCUAUCAGUUCUAGGAGCGUUCUGGAGGAGUCUUUGGAUUUUGAGGAUGCUGUCUUCUGAUGAAAACAGAAUCAGAAUGAGUGAAACAUGGAAGUUUGAAAAGAGUGAACAUCAACACUGGAAACUCAAGAGUGUGUUAAACAGAGAAAAUUAAUAGAAACCAGGAAACACUUAAGGUGUAUUUGAAGUUUGUUGUCUUGAAUUGAUGUAUUAAUUAACUCUGGAAUCAAUUUACUGUAUUUGGUGAACCCAGCUUUCAGUGGAGUUCUUCUUAAUUUUCGCCUACUGUUCUACUUGUUCCAAAUGUGUGUAUCAUGUAUUUUUUCUUUUAGAUUUUUCUACCUAAUUAGCUUUGAUUCUGUCAUCAGGAUUGAUUUUGGCUAAAAUAAAACACAUAUAUGUCUUUUAGUGGCUUACCAAUUAAUUUUCCUUAUACAAUAAAAGGUCUCAAGAUAGAGUUCUUUCAGUAGGGCGAAAAUAUCAAGGCUCUAGAGGGAGGUAUAUGCAAAUAUUUUGAUUUUUCUUUCAUGAUUAUAA
rnacentral:lncRNA from 1 species